rnacentral:rRNA from 1 species
GAUGAACGCUGGCGGUAUGCCUAACACAUGCAAGUCGUACGAGAGUUUUUAACUCUAGUGGCGGACGGGUGAGUAACACGUGAGAAUUUGCCUUUAGGAGGGGGGAUAACAAUUGGAACGAAUGCUAAUACCCCAUAUGCUUUUGAGUGAAAUGGAUUUUAUCCGCCUAGAGAGAAGCUCGCGGCUGAUUAGCUUGUUGGUAAGGUAAGAGCUUACCAAGGCGACGAUCAGUAUCUGGUUUGAGAGGACGAUCAGACACACUGGAACUGAGACACGGUCCAGACUCCUACGGGAGGCAGCAGUGGGGAAUAUUGCACAAUGGACGAAAGUCUGAUGCAGCAACGCCGCGUGGAGGAUGACACAUUUCGGUGCGUAAACUCCUUUUAUAUGAGAAGAUAAUGACGGUAUUAUAUGAAUAAGCACCGGCUAACUCCGUG